UCCUACGGGAGGCAGCAGUGGGGAAUAUUGGACAAUGGGGGCAACCCUGAUCCAGCAAUACCGCGUGUGUGAAGAAGGCCUGCGGGUUGUAAAGCACUUUCAGUGGGGAAGAAAAGCGGUUGACUAAUACUCAACGGUCUUGACGUUACCUACAGAAGAAGCACCGGCUAACUCCGUGCCAGCAGCCGCGGUAAUACGGAGGGUGCGAGCGUUAAUCGGAAUUACUGGGCGUAAAGCGCGCGUAGGCGGCUUGGUCAGUCAGAUGUGAAAUCCCAGGGCUCAACCUUGGAACUGCAUUUGAUACUGCCAGGCUAGAGUAUGUUAGAGGAAAGCGGAAUUCCGGGUGUAGCGGUGAAAUGCGUAGAUAUCCGGAGGAACAUCAGUGGCGAAGGCGGCUUUCUGGAACAAUACUGACGCUGAGGUGCGAAAGCGUGGGGA
rnacentral:rRNA from 1 species